rnacentral:rRNA from 1 species
AUUGAACGCUGGCGGCAGGCCUAACACAUGCAAGUCGAACGAGUGGCGGACGGGUGAGUAAUGUCUGGGAAACUGCCUGAUGGAGGGGGAUAACUACUGGAAACGGUAGCUAAUAACGCAUAUCAUCAGAUGUGCCCAGAUGGGAUUAGCCUGUUGGUGGGGUAACGGCUAACCAAGGGGACGGACCCUAGUUGGUCUGCGAGGAUGACCAGCCACACUGGAACUGAGACAGGGUCCAGACGGCUAGGGGAGGCAGCAGUGGGGAAUAGUGCACAAUGCGCGGAAGCCUGGUGCAGCCAGGCCGAGUGUAUGAAGAAGGCCUUCGGGUGGUAAAGGACUGUCUGCGGGGAGGCGUUACCCGCAGAAGAAGCACCGGCGAACUCCGUGCCAGCAGCGGCGGUAUAC